GAAGAAGUGCCAAAGGGCGUACGGUGGAUGCCUUGGCGUUGAGAGGCGAUGAAGGACGUAGCACGCUGCGAUAAGCUACGGGGAGCCGCGAGCAGGCUUUGAUCCGUAGAUUUCCGAAUGGGGAAACCCGGCAGGUUCAACCUGUCACUUUGCGCUGAAUACAUAGGCGUAAGGAGCGAACCCUGGGAACUGAAACAUCUCAGUACCGGGAGGAAAAGAAAUCAAACGAGAUUCCGUAAGUAGCGGCGAGCGAAAGCGGAUUAGGCCAGUAACAUCAACCCAUUAUGAAUUAUCUGAACAGCUCUGGAAAGUGCGGCCAUAGACGGUGAUAGCCCGGUAGGGAAAAGUUCAUAGUGGGGGGUUACAUGAGUAGGGCGGGACACGUGAAAUCUUGCCUGAAGAUGGGAGGACCCCCUUCCAAGCCUAAAUACUACUCAACGACCGAUAGUGAACCAGUACCGUGAGGGAAAGGUGAAAAGAACCCCGAUAAGGGGAGUGAAAUAGAACCUGAAACCGUGCGCUUACAAGCAGUGGGAGGGCUAUGAUUCAUGCCUGACCGCGUACCUUUUGUAUAAUGGGUCAGCGAGUUGAUCUUCGUGGCAAGCUUAAGUCGAUGGACGUAGGCGAAGCGAAAGCGAGUCUGAACAGGGCGUUCAGUCGCGGGGAUCAGACCCGAAACCAGGUGAUCUAUCCAUGGGCAGGUUGAAGGUGCGGUAACACGCACUGGAGGACCGAACCGACCUAUGUUGAAAAAUGGGCGGAUGACUUGUGGAUAGGAGUGAAAGGCUAAACAAACCUGGAAAUAGCUGGUUCUCUCCGAAAACUAUUUAGGUAGUGCCUCGAAAGAUGCAUGCCGGGGGUAGAGCACUGGAUGGGCUAGGGGGGCCCAAAGCCUUACCAAACCUAACCAAACUCCGAAUACCGGUCAUGUUAUUUCGGGAGACAGACUGCGGGUGCUAAGGUCCGUAGUCGAAAGGGAAACAGCCCAGACCGCCAGCUAAGGUCCCGAAGUGGUGUUUAAGUGGGAAAGGAUGUGAGAUUGCACUGACAGCCAGGAGGUUGGCUUAGAAGCAGCCACCCUUUAAAGAAAGCGUAAUAGCUCACUGGUCGAGUGGUCUUGCGCCGAAAAUAUAACGGGGCUUAAAACACCCACCGAAGCUGCGGAUAUCCGUAAGGAUAUGGUAGGAGAGCGUUCUGUAAGCCUGUGAAGCCAUACCGUGAGGAGUGGUGGAGGUAUCAGAAGUGAGAAUGCUGACAUGAGUAGCGAUUAAGAAGGUGAGAAUCCUUCUCGCCGAAAGCCCAAGGUUUCCUGCGCAAGGCUAUUCCGCGCAGGGUUAGUCGGCCCCUAAGACGAGGCAUACGAUGCGUAGUCGAUGGGAACCCGGUCAAAAUUCCGGGACCACGCAUGAAUGCGAUGGGAGGACGGAGAAAGGUAGAUCUACCGGGCGUUGGUUGUCCCGGGUCAAGCGUGCAGGCAGACUGGAUAGGCAAAUCCGUCCGGUUAAUGCUCAGGCGUGAUGACGAGCCGCUUUAGGCGAAGUGAUUGAUCCUAUGCUUCCAAGAAAAGUCUCUAAGCUUCAGUUCAUGUGUGACCGUACCCCAAACCAACACAGGUGGGCAGGGUGAGAAUCCCAAGGCGAGUGAGAGAACUCGGGUAAAGGAACUCGGCAAAAUGGCCCCGUAACUUCGGGAGAAGGGGCGCCCUUUGCUGUGAAAAGACUUGCUCUUGGAGCGGCGGAGGGCCGCAGUGACCAGGGGGGGAGCGACUGUUUACCAAAAACACAGGACUCUGCGAAGUCGCAAGACGACGUAUAGGGUCUGACGCCUGCCCGGUGCCGGAAGGUUAAGAGGAGAGGUUAGCGCUUUGAAUCGAAGCCCCGGUAAACGGCGGCCGUAACUAUAACGGUCCUAAGGUAGCGAAAUUCCUUGUCGGGUAAGUUCCGACCUGCACGAAUGGCGUAACGAUUUCCCCACUGUCUCUACCCGAGACUCAGCGAAAUUGAAGUUGCUGUGAAGAUGCAGCAUACCCGCGGCAAGACGGAAAGACCCCGUGAACCUUUACUAUAGCUUUACAUUGGCGCUAGAAACAGUUUGUGUAGGAUAGGUGGGAGGCUUUGAAGCGAUUGCGCCAGCAUUCGUGGAGCCAACCUUGAAAUACCACCCUGAUUGUUUUUGGCGUCUAACCUCGGCCCGUUAUCCGGGCUAGGGACAGUGUAUGGUGGGUAGUUUGACUGGGGCGGUCGCCUCCCAAACAGUAACGGAGGCGCGCGAUGGUUCGCUCAGGUUGGUCGGAAAUCAACCGUAGAGUGUAAAGGCAUAAGCGAGCCUGACUGUGAGACUGACAAGUCGAGCAGGGACGAAAGUCGGCCUUAGUGAUCCGGCGGUUCCGAGUGGAAGGGCCGUCGCUCAACGGAUAAAAGGUACUCCGGGGAUAACAGGCUGAUCUCCCCCAAGAGUUCACAUCGACGGGGAGGUUUGGCACCUCGAUGUCGGCUCAUCGCAUCCUGGGGCUGUAGUCGGUCCCAAGGGUUUGGCUGUUCGCCAAUUAAAGCGGUACGCGAGCUGGGUUCAGAACGUCGUGAGACAGUUCGGUCCCUAUCUGCCGUGGGCGUUUGGAGAAUUGAGAGGAUCUGCUCCUAGUACGAGAGGACCGGAGUGGACGUGCCUCUGGUGUGCCGGUUGUUCUGCCAAGGGCAUCGCCGGGUAGCUACGCACGGAAGGGAUAACCGCUGAAAGCAUCUAAGCGGGAAACCCACCUCAAGAUGAAUUCUCCCUAUGAGACCCGUGGAAGACCACCACGUUGAUAGGCAGGGUGUGGAAGUGCGGUGACGCAUGCAGCUUACCUGUACUAAUCGGUCCAUUGACUUCUCUCG
rfam:Magnetofaba australis IT-1 contig00020, whole genome shotgun sequence.